UACAGAGGUGCCAAGCGUUAGGCGGAAUCACUGGGCUUAAAGCGCGUGUAGGCGGGUCGUUAAGUGUCCGAGUGAAAUCCCACGGCUCAACCGUGGAACUGCCGGGCAUACUGGCGAUCUUGAGGCAUUCAGGGGCGAGCGGAACAAAUGGUGGAGCGGUGAAAUGCGUAGAUAUCAUUUGGAACGCCCAUGGUGAAAACAGCUCGCUGGGAAUGAUCUGACGCUGAGACGCGAAAGCCAGGGGAGCGAACGGG
rnacentral:rRNA from 1 species